rnacentral:rRNA from 1 species
GACGAACGCUGGCGGCGUGCUUAACACAUGCAAGUCGAACGGAAAGGCCCUGCUUUUGUGGGGUGCUCGAGUGGCGAACGGGUGAGUAACACGUGAGUGACCUGCCCUUGACUUUGGGAUAACUUCAGGAAACUGGGGCUAAUACCGGAUAGGAGCUCCUGCUGCAUGGUGGGGGUUGGAAAGUUUCGGCGGUUGGGGAGGGACUCGCGGCUUAUCAGCUUGUUGGUGGGGUAGUGGCUUACCAAGGCGUUGACGGGUAGCCGGCCUGAGAGGGUGACCGGCCACAUUGGGACUGAGAUACGGCCCAGACUCCUACGGGAGGCAGCAGUGGGGAAUAUUGCACAAUGGGCGGAAGCCUGAUGCAGCAACGCCGCGUGCGGGAUGACGGCCUUCGGGUUGUAAACCGCUUUCGCCUGUGACGAAGCGUGAGUGACGGUAAUGGGUAAAGAAGCACCGGCUAACUACGUG